CUUUUUUGGCUCAAGAUUCACAAAUCUUCACAAAUCCUGACUUCUGGAAUGUGUUACGUAGCUGGGGCUUUUACUGUCCAUCACAGUCAAGGCAGAAAACUAUAUUCUUUCAAAUUGUAUAUUUGGAGCACAACUUACUAAAAUAAUAAAUAUUUAUACAACAAAUAAUACCUUCAGGCAGGCUGGAUGCCAUCUGUCAGAGUUGGAUUUAAUCUUAAGGUUGAGGCAUGGUGAGCUGCCAUGUAGAAAUGUUCACAGAAGUUAUCAGUGAGUGUGUCAUGGUUUUCAGGUGAAGUUAUGUGUGGCAGAUAUUGACAGCGUAUUCAUGUAGUGUAUGGAGCUGGUGCUCGCAUGGGGAAAGGAGUGAAUUUGUUUGUUUUCUUCAUGGAACAAGUUUAAAUUCUGUUUAGUGCUCCAGUGUGCUGGGAUCAUUUACUACUGAAUCCUUGGUAUGUCUUAUUUAGCUCUGCAGGGUAAACCAAGCAUUAAACAAUGGUCUUCAGAAGAGCCACUAUAUGUAGGAAGUGGCAGUUUUAAAAACUAAAUGAUAUGUGAGCAGGCUUCUCUUUUCAUCUUCAUAGGGCAACUGGGAUACUAAAAACAUCUGCAGUAAGUUUAAAACUAUAUCUGUUCUUUUUGGUGUGUGUUCCCCUGCUAGAAUUUUAGAGGUCAUACAGUCCUUGACAGUGGACUGAAUAAUGAAGAUUAUUUUUAUAAGAAGCUCAUCUCUUCCUUGGCACCAUUUGGAAUGUGGCUUAACAAUACCACCUGACGUGCAGCUGGGGGAAGGUGGCUGGACAAGGACAGAGGCAGCACGGAAUGGUAGGUACCUGACACUGGUGGUACCUGUGAUACCACCAGUGGUACAAGACUGACCUGCUCUUGUGGGGUGGGGUGAUAGAUGCUGAGUGUUGCUUUAGUAAUGGGGGAAGCAGGAGGCAGGUCAAUGGAGCAAAUGGUGAACUGGAGUGGGAUGGCUGCAGCCCUAGAUACUGUGGCUGAGAACCAUUGUGUUCCUGUGGUUGGGUCUGUAUAAGUGUGUGUUUGGUUGUUUUGGUGGUUUGUGAGAGCGGUGCACAUCAUGGAUGGGGUGACAGUGCUUCGCCAGCUGGCUCAUGUAAACAGUUGUGGUUUGCUCAGCCUCAUCACUGCCUGGGGGCUUUGGGAGGUGCACAAUUCAGCAGCAAGGAGUACAUGAUGGGAGCUGUAUUGUCCAUGCAGAGCCAUAUAAAAUGAGAAUCAGUGAAAGAAGAGAAGGUGAUGCUAAGCAAAUGGAAAACUGGAGGACGUGGGUUAGUGGGCAUGGUGUGGGGAUAGGUCAGUAGUUGAGCAUGAUGAUCUGAGAGGUCUUUCCCAACCUUAAUGGUUCUAUGAUUUUUAUGACAUAUAUCUUGGCCUUCAGGAAAGUGGCUGAAAUGAAGAGAGAAAGGGAAAAAGGUGCUGGUGGGAAGGAUCUGAAAAGCUGUGCUGAGUGCGGUGGUAUCCUGUAAGCAAGUAGUUGUCCAAGGUAACCACUGGUCUUCUGCAUGACUGCCCCAGUAUAAGUGAAUGGAAAAGCUGACUGCGUCUGAUGGCACCAUGUGAGCUUUGGGAGAGGUGUUUACAGCACGCUGCAGGGCAGCUGCUCUGCAAAAGAGCUCAACACUUGCUGAAUGCUGCAGUGAAAUUGGUGCUGCUUUGCAGGGAGAUAUUUUGGCAGAAAAGCUCUUACUAUAAGAAGAAAUAUCAGUAGUUUUUCUUCUACAGAGGGACCUAAGAAGGAACAAAACAAAUGCUAUUUGCCUAACGAAGUGUUUGUGUUGUGCUCCCAGUGACCCACACUGGGCAUGUUCCGUGGCGUUUGUGUCUUCAAUGGCUUUCAGCUCUUUACAUGGG
ensembl:lncRNA